rnacentral:rRNA from 1 species
CUGAUAUGAAGAGCUUGCUCGGAUUUGAAGAUGAACAUUGCAAAGAGUGGCGAACGGGUGAGUAACACGUGGGAAACCUACCUCUUAGCGGGGGAUAACACUUGGAAACAAGUGCUAAUACCGCAUAAUACUGAUAACCGCAUGGUUAUCAGUUGAAAGAUGGUUCUGCUAUCACUAAGAGAUGGUCCCGCGGUGUAUUAGCUAGUUGGUAAGGUAAUGGCUUACCAAGGCAAUGAUACAUAGCCGAGUUGAGAGACUGAUCGGCCACAAUGGGACUGAGACACGGCCCAUACUCCUACGGGAGGCAGCAGUAGGGAAUCUUCCACAAUGGACGAAAGUCUGAUGGAGCAACGCCGCGUGUGUGAUGAAGGGUUUCGGCUCGUAAAACACUGUUGUAAGAGAAGAAUGACAUUGAGAGUAACUGUUCAGUGUGUGACGGUAUCUUACCAGAAAGGAACGGCUAAAUACGUGCCAGCAGCCGCGGUAAUACGUAUGUUCCAAGCGUUAUCCGGAUUUAUUGGGCGUAAAGCGAGCGCAGACGGUUGUUUAAGUCUGAAGUGAAAGCCCACAGCUUAACUGUGGAAGUGCUUUGGAAACUGGAUAACUUGAGUGCAGUAGAGGAGAGUGGAACUCCAUGG